UACAGAGGGUGCAAGCGUUAAUCGGAUUUACUGGGCGUAAAGCGUGCGUAGGCGGUUCAUUAAGUCGGUUGUGAAAUCCCUGGGCUUAACCUGGGAACUGCAGUCGAUACUGGUGGACUAGAGUACGGUAGAGGGUGGCGGAACUCCGGGUGUAGCGGUGAAAUGCGUAGAUAUCCGGAAGAACACCGAUGGCGAAGGCAACCACCUGGGCCUGUACUGACGCUGAGGUACGAAAGCGUGGGGAGCAAAGCAGGG
rnacentral:rRNA from 1 species